CGAGUUCUCCUUUCCUCUUUUAAGAUUUUCUUUCUUUUUGGGUUUUCUUCCUCUAGGGUUUCCAUUUUCAAUAGUAAGUAAGAAGGUUUCAUUUUCUCGAGAUAGUCGGUCGGAGAAUCCGACCGAUGAUUCUCCUUCGAGUUCGAAAAUGAAAGUUUCUUUCUUAUCCGGAUCCAAUGUUGAGCGACUUCGGGAAUAAUACCAUAUCUCAUAGCAGUAUCAGCUUUUUGCUCCUAGUCCGGACGAUCGGGUGAACUCUCCUCCUCCGGGCCA
rnacentral:lncRNA from 1 species